UCGAGAAUUUUUCUCAAUGGGGGAAACCCUGAAGGAGCGACGCCGCGUGGAGGAUGAAGGUCUUCGGAUUGUAAACUCCUGUCAUUUGGGAACAAUGUGCAUUGGUUAACUGCCGAUGCAUUGAUAGUACCAGAAGAGGAAGAGACGGCUAACUCUGUGCCAGCAGCCGCGGUAAUACAGAGGUCUCAAGCGUUGUUCGGAUUCAUUGGGCGUAAAGGGAGCGUAGGUGGCGGGGUAAGUCGGAUGUGAAAUCCCGGGGCUCAACCCCGGAACUGCAUUCGAUACUGCCUUGCUCGAGUACUGGAGAGGAGAUCGGAAUUUACGGUGUAGCAGUGAAAUGCGUAGAUAUCGUAAGGAAGACCAGUGGCGAAGGCGGAUCUCUGGACAGUUACUGACACUGAGGCUCGAAGGCCAGGGGAGCAAACGG
rnacentral:rRNA from 1 species